rnacentral:rRNA from 1 species
CGCGUAGGCGGACAGUUUAGUCAGAGGUGAAAGCCCAGGGCUCAACCUUGGAAUAGCCUUUGAUACUGGCUGUCUUGAGUACGGGAGAGGUGUGUGGAACUCCGAGUGUAGAGGUGAAAUUCGUAGAUAUUCGGAAGAACACCAGUGGCGAAGGCGACACACUGCCCGUUACUGACGCUGAGGCGCGAAAGCGUGGGGAGCAAACA